GGCUCUAAAUUCCUCUGUUUCUUCUUCGUCCUUCAGCUGCCCUAUAUUUCCCAAAUUAGAAACCCUAAGAUCUCUUCUUCUCCCUUUUCUCGAUUUUGCGAAACCCUAAGGAGAAUUUGAGCUCUGAGUGAUUGCAGAUUCUCAAUGUUAUGAACAAUGUGGCUUGCUGGAGUGAGGAUAAAUUGCGAUAAUGUAUUGAAAAGCCCUAAUUAGGGAAUUGAGUUCCCGUGAAAUUCACGACAACCAACCGGAACUCAAAUUUGAUUUUAAAGGAAAUCGUUUACUUGUGUGUUUCUUGUUGAAAGAUUAUCACUUUGUGAGAAUGGGAAUGAGGAGAACCGUUGUCGAGAACUAGGCUCUCUAAGAUUUUCCCCCCCUAUCUCUAGUGAAUUUGAGCUCUAAUUGAUUACAAAAACGUUAUUAGGUAAUGAGCAUAAACUUCUCAAAUGGGGUUAAAUUUCGAGCAGAAGGGGAUUUGAGUACUUGUGCAUGUUGUUACUUAGCACUUUGGUGUUACGAUGAGCCCUCAAAGCUGCCUCUAAAUUCAGGUAUAACCUUGUUCAUGGGGGUUCCUGAAGAAAUCUAUGAUAGCAAUUCAAUUGGAGAGGGCCACAUUGUAGAUUAAAAAAAAAAAAAAGGGUGUUUCCUGGGAAUUAACUUAAGAAGGUAUACUGAGGAUAUCACAUUCAUAAGUGGCAGGGCCAGAAGGUACGCUAUGCAAGCUAGUUAUUGACUCUCUCAUGACAGGCAGCCACUUAUAAGAGUAUGAAUGAACGGGAAGAGGCAAAGUCACAUACUGUAGUCAUUGCUCUUGAAUAUUUGGUUAGCAUGUUAGCUGAUGUGAUAAGAAUUCAUGAUGAGUUCCUUCUCCCAGAAAGCUUAUCAAACUACUGCAGAGAUGCAUGCUCAGAGGGCGCAAUGUGGAGUAGCCUCAGAUGAAGUUAUCAUCUAAAACAGCAUGCUGUCCACAUCUCCCAGCAUCAUUAUAUUUGUUCUCAUCAUUGCAGUUGAGAUUUAUUAUAACUGAAACAAAAAUUGCAUAAGGAGAAAGCAGAAUGCAGCUAGUGCUCCACUAUCGAGUUUUGAAGUUGAUUAUUAAGCUGGCUCAGUAAUUAAUUUGCACUGUUAUUUUAGCCAUUCAUACUAGUUUCUUAUCGAUUGUAUUUCGUAUACUGAUUGUAUUGAUUUAAAAGUGAUAGUAAUCACUGAUCACAGGGUCAUAUUCUUCUUCUUUAUAAGUGAUUUUUUUUAUUGGGGAAUUUUUUAUGGAGGGACCCUCUGUAGGAUUUAUCUUGUCCACUUACACAGCUACACCCAAUGGAACCCAACUGUUAUUUUGUCAGAGAAACUGUACCAAACUGAAGCUGCAGCAGACUCUGCACGUGAGCGUGCUUCUAGUCAAGAGGAAGGGGCCGACACUCCAAUUACAAUGACUCAGCAGCAGCAUCAACAGCAUGAGCAUGAGUAUGAGCAUGCAUAAUGAAUGGAGGAUUUUUUUUUGCUUUAUUUAUUUCUCCUCAACCACCUUUUCUUCUUUAUAUUUUGCUUUCCUCUGUCGCUUUUCUUGAUGAGCAGAGAAACCUAAUCAAUUGAGCCACAUGAUGACUUGCUCAGAUCAAGCUCCCUAUUUUCUGUUUUUUCUUGUUUGAAGGUCAAGCAUUUUUAGUUCACCUAAGUAGGUGCUACUAGUAAUAUUGUAUAAGUAA